AGCGGCGGACGGGUGAGUAACACGUGGGCAACCUGCCUGUAAGACGGGGAUAACUUCGGGAAACCGGGGCUAAUACCGGGUAAUCUUUUGCAUCGCAUGAUGCAAGGGUAAAAGAUGGUUCUGCCAUCGCUUACAGAUGGGCCCGCGGUGUAUUAGCUAGUUGGUGAGGUAAUGGCUCACCAAGGCGACGAUACAUAGCCGACCUGAGAGGGUGAUCGGCCAUACUGGGACUGAGACACGGCCCAGACUCCUACGGGAGGCAGCAGUAGGGAAUCUUCCGCAAUGGACGAAAGUCUGACGGAGCAACGCCGCGUGAGUGAUGAAGGUUUUCGGAUCGUAAAGCUCUGUUGUUAGAGAAGAAUAGGUAUCAUAGGAAAUGAUGGUACUGUGACGGUAUCUAACCAGAAAGCCACGGCUAACUACGUGCCAGCAGCCGCGGUAAUACGUAGGUGGCAAGCGUUGUCCGGAAUUAUUGGGCGUAAAGCGCGCGCAGGCGGUUUCUUAAGUCUGAUGUGAAAGCCCCCAGCUCAACUGGGGAGGGUCAUUGGAAACUGGGAAACUUGAGUACAGAAGAGGAGAGUAGAAUUCCACGUGUANCGGUGAAAUGCGUANAGAUGUGGAGGAAUACCAGUGGCGAAGGCGGCUCUCUGGUCUGUAACUGACGCUGAGGC
rnacentral:rRNA from 1 species